UGAGGAAUUUUGCGCAGUGGGGGAAACCCUGACGCAGCGACGCCGCGUGGAGGAUGAAGGCCUUCGGGUCGUAAACUCCUGUCAGAGGUGAAGAAUGCCCGCAAGGGUUUGACGGUAACCUCAGAGGAAGCCCCGGCUAACUACGUGCCAGCAGCCGCGGUAAUACGUAGGGGGCAAACGUUACUCGGAAUUACUGGGCGUAAAGGGUGCGUAGGCGGCUGGGAAAGUCAAGGAUGAAAUCCCGUGGCUCAACUGCGGAACGGUCCUUGAAACUACUCGGCUUGAGGAUAACCGAAGAGAACGGAAUUCCCGGUGGAGCGGUGAAAUGCGUAGAUAUCGGGAGGAACACCUGAGGCGAAAGCGGUUCUCUAGACUACUCCUGACGCUGAGGCACGAAAGCUAGGGGAGCAAACG
rnacentral:rRNA from 1 species